AACGAACGCUGGCGGCAUGCCUAACACAUGCAAGUCGAACGAGACCUUCGGGUCUAGUGGCGCACGGGUGCGUAACGCGUGGGAACCUGCCCUUAGGUUCGGAAUAACUCCCCGAAGGGGGUGCUAAUACCGGAUAAUGUCCUCGGACCAAAGAUUUAUCGCCUUUGGAUGGGCCCGCGUUGGAUUAGCUAGUUGGUAGGGUAAAAGCCUACCAAGGCGACGAUCCAUAGCUGGUCUGAGAGGAUGAUCAGCCACACUGGGACUGAGACACGGCCCAGACUCCUACGGGAGGCAGCAGUGGGGAAUAUUGGACAAUGGGCGAAAGCCUGAUCCAGCAAUGCCGCGUGAGUGAUGAAGGCCUUAGGGUUGUAAAGCUCUUUUACCCGGGAUGAUAAUGACAGUACCGGGAGAAUAAGCUCCGGCUAACUCCGUG
rnacentral:rRNA from 1 species